rnacentral:rRNA from 1 species
UGCNGCGUGCAGGAAGACUGCCCUAUGGGUUGUAAACUGCUUUUAUACAGGAAGAAACCUUUUCACGUGUGAAAAGCUGACGGUACUGUAAGAAUAAGGAUCGGCUAACUCCGUGCCAGCAGCCGCGGUAAUACGGAGGAUCCAAGCGUUAUCCGGAAUCAUUGGGUUUAAAGGGUCCGUAGGUGGAUAAUUAAGUCAGGGGUGAAAGUUUGCGGCUCAACCGUAAAAUUGCCUUUGAUACUGGUUAUCUUGAAUUAUUGUGAAGUAGUUAGAAUAUGUAGUGUAGCGGUGAAAUGCAUAGAUAUUACAUAGAAUACCAAUUGCGAAGGCAGAUUACUAACAAUAUAUUGACACUGAUGGACGAAAGCGUGGGGAGCGAACAGGAUUAGAUACCCUGGUAG